CAGGACGACGCUGGCGGCGUGCCUAACACAUGCAAGUCGAGCGAGGAGAUUCCUUCGGGAUGAUCCUAGCGGCGGACGGGUGAGUAACACGUGGGCAACCUGCCUCAUAGAGAGGAAUAGCCUUCCGAAAGGGAGAUUAAUACCUCAUAACAUUGCAGUUUCGCAUGGAACAGCAAUUAAAGGAGUAAUCCGCUAUGAGAUGGGCCCGCGGCGCAUUAGCUAGUUGGUGAGGUAACGGCUCACCAAGGCGACGAUGCGUAGCCGACCUGAGAGGGUGAUCGGCCACAUUGGGACUGAGACACGGCCCAGACUCCUACGGGAGGCAGCAGUGGGGAAUAUUGCACAAUGGGGGAAACCCUGAUGCCAGCAACGCCGCGUGAGUGAUGACGGCCUUCGGGUUGUAAAGCUCUGUCUUCAGGGACGAUAAUGACGGUACCUGAGGAGGAAGCCACGGCUAACUACGUGCCAGCCGCGGC
rnacentral:rRNA from 1 species